rnacentral:lncRNA from 10 species
CUUGUCUGAGUCCUGAGCCAGCAGAGCUCAGGCCACAGCACCUGCACCCGUUUUCUGCUGCUGCACACAAGGGCUCUGUGCAUUCCGCAUCCAGGUGUGCCCCUCCUCUUCUGGAGGAUUCUUUUUCAGGCUGUCCCAGAGACUUUGCAGCACAGCAUCCUUGCUCUAUUUCUUCCUGCAACAUCUCUGCUGAAGCUCUAUUGCUUUUGGCAACUCUUCCGUCUAUUUUGUGGUUUAGGUGUCUCCUACUUUUACUAAAAAUGGAAUUUGUGUUUUUAUCGCUCAAGUCCUUUUUGCUUUUGGAUUACUUCCAGAAAAUGAAGGGAGGGUUACUAACUUUAUGCCAUCUUCAAACCAGAAGAUCUUAGAUUAGUAAGAUCAUGUUGGCCAUGGCAUGGAGAAUGGGCUGGAGGUGGAGAGACUGGAGGUUGGAAGUCCAGUUAGGAGAUUGCUCCUGCGCUGGGGAGUUGGUGUUAGGACAGAAGAUCCAAGACGCGUUUCAGAGAGCCCCUCUUCUUGGGCCUGCGAUUCCUCACCUGGAAGGGAGAAGAGUGGACUUCCUGCCUAGAGAACACCUUGGUAAACUCUUUGUGGUUCCUGUCAUGAGAAGGUGUGCAGCUUAGGGAAAAAGCCUGUGAGCUCUGGAAUCAGAUGGAACUGGAUAUGAAUUUCCAUUUAGUGCUUGUUGGAUUAAAUGUGAUGCUAACGGGUCUCACUAUGUUGCCCAGGCUGAUCUCAAACUCCUGUUCUCAAGCGAUCCUCCUACCCCAGCUUCCCAAAGUGCUGGCAUUCAAGUGAUGGAAUAGAAGUUUGGAGAGCUCAAGAACCUUGUCUAAGAUCACAUAAUUAGCAGGUGGUGGAGCUGGUGGAGCUGGGAUUUGAACCCUGGUCUAUGUGGCUUCCAAUAGGCCACUCCCCUAUGCUGAGAUGCUUUGAAAUUGCAACUGUCAAGAUCUUGCCCCUUGUGCAUUUUGAUGCCCCCAUGAGGGUGGACUCAGGGCAACAUUUCAGAUGUUAUUCCCAAAUCUCUCCCUGCUCCCCUUGGCUGAAUCCCUGAACUUCUGAAACAAGGCCUGUCUGUGGUUCCUGUUGUGGCCUUGAGGUAGGAUUUGACAAGUUGUCAAGUCCCGAGGUGCUGACCAACAUGCUCAUCUCAAGCUGAAAUAAUAAAAUAAAAAAUCUCUCCUACC